UUUAUAAAUUCUUUUGUGGGUUAAAAUGUAAUGUACUAAACCUCUAUAUAAAUUUUAAAAAUUUCAGGAAUAGAUGUUAACACAUGUAUUAAGAAAAAAAAUUGUGUUUAAAACAGUUGGCCUGUAAUAGAUUUUAAAAUAUCUGCUGUUCAUAAGUGUGAUUGUCCCAUGUAUUUACAUGUAUAUGAAUACAGUUAUAUAUACAUAUUAACUCAUGAGUAUCUAUGCUCGAUUAAAACAAUAGUCACUAGAAUACAAGAUUAGAACUUUUGGCUUCACCAGAGAUUAUUAUAUGGUUUCAUAUAAGUGGUAUCAUAACAGUGAUAUUUUUUUCUGUUUGUUCAUUGUGAACGGUGAAAUGUUAAGUAAUGGCCAACAUUGUUUUUAACUGCAAUUGUUGUAUCAUACAACAUCAGGUUUCUAUCAGUGAAUCUUCCAUGCUUCCAUGCAUCAGUCAUGGUUUUGGAAAUUAAAUCAGUGAGCUACAUAAGAUUUGAUCACCAUCCCCCUGUUUACAUGUUUGUGAGACUUCACAUUGUGUAGUGCAGACUUUCUAAUCCGUCCUGUCAAAUUCUCAACUUGUUUCUGUGUUUAUCUUCACUCAUUUUUUUUUUUAAAUCUGACCUCACGGUGCUAUGUAGAGUCUGAAAUUCUUAUAUUUGUAGAAACACCAUUAACUGCCAUAUGUACAUGGUGUUAUUAAUAUCUGUUCAGUCUUAACAUUAGAGGUAUCAUACUAUUUUGUACUUAAUUUAGAUGAGGUUUAUUGUGUAUAUAUAAAUAUAGAUACAUUGUGUAUACAUACAGAUAAUUUUGUGUAUAUUCAGAUACUUUUUCCUAUGUAUAUAAUUUUUGUUCAAUUUUCUGAAUGUUUUUUACUUUUAAAGAUGUUAAAAUGUAAUGUACUAAGCCUCUAUAAUGUGUCAAAUGUAUGUAGUAAUAUUUAUAUUUUAAAAAUUUCAGGAAUAGAUGUUAACACAUGUAUUAAGAAAAAAAUGUGUUUAAAACAUUUGGCCUGCAAUAGAUUUUAAAAUGUAUAUGGUUUUAGGAAAAGAGAAACUAUUUUUGCUGAUAAAAUAUCCAUAUUUAUAGAGUUAAUUUAGUGAUGUGAUAUUCAUUUGAGUGAUGUUGAAUUACCUAAACAUUGUUAAGAAAGGACAUAUUGUGUUUACAUAUCUCUUAUAGAAAUGUAAAAUACAAUAUAUAUUCACAAAUAUGAGUGUAUAGUCUACCUUGAUGUCUUAUCAGCUACUAUAUUAUGAGUAAAACUCAAGUAUAAGACUUAAGGUGGCACUGUUUUUUCAAAAUUAUGUAUACUGUAUAAAGAGCAUGUACUUUCAUUUUAUUUUUCUGUCCCCAGAUAUUUGUGGAUAUUUUUCAAAAGAUACCUCAGAACUAUAUAGGUGUAUAUCCAUCUGAUACCUGGCAAAAUGUAACAUUGUAAAUAAUGAGCUAUUUUUAUCAAACAGCUUGUAUUUCUAGAGGUGUAAAUGUAAUGUAAAUAUCACUGUCUUACAAUUUAUAUGUCCCUAAGGGGGAAACAUGGAGCUCAGUCUUUCAUAUUUGUUUGAAUGCCAGAGGAAAAAGUUAAACACACUAUGCCUUUUCUACUCCAUCCUCCUAGUAGCCUAGUUGACCUUUGUUUCUACUUUUUGUCAAAUUUCAUGAAGAUUUUGUACUACCUCUUAGGACACUGCAAAGUUUUGUAUGUGUUUCCUGGUUGCAUGACAAUAUUCAAGACAACUUUGUAAAUAAUUUUGAAAUACAGCAUUGGAACGGAAAGAGUGCCACAGGGUAUCAUUUUGUGAGUACAUCAUUGGAAACCUUUGUCCUUUUCAUUUCUGGAUGUGAAAUUUCUGGUUGAGAAUUUAUCACAUUUUAUGUUUAUUACUUAUUAUUGAUGGUAGAGUAAUAAGAUUUUACUUUAACUUUGGCUACUUAUCUCAAGAUAAAUCAUCAUUUCCCAUAGGAUAAGUAAGGCUUAUUGUACAUGUAAGGCCAUAAAUCUUCAUUUUGUGCCUCUAGUAAUGAUAGACUAUUAAUGUAAAUAUUUCUUUCUAGUCAUUGUAAAAAACAUCUAUUAAGAGUUUCUUCUACCUCCUUGAAUUAAUACAUUAUUAUAUUCACAUUGCAUGACAGCUUUCAAGACAAGUUAUAAAUAACUGAUACAUCUUUCCAUUUGAAAAAUCCAUUUCAGAUGCAUAUUCAUAGCAAAAGAUAAACCUGUAAAUACUACAUUGUAAUCUAAUAUUAAUGAAGCAUUAUAGCAAAUGCUUUUUUCAAGAAAAUGAUAAGUCCUACUCAGUGUAUUAAGUAUAAAAUUCUGAGUAAGCUAUUAUUUUUGCUUGGAAAAAAAUUUUAUUUUUAUGAAAAUGUAUAGUGAACGUAAUUCAAAUUUUGAAUUAUUUGAGAAUCGCUAAAAGCAUUGUUUCUUGACUCUAACCUAGGCACAUUUGUUUUUCAUAUGUAAUUAUAUUUUUCACAUACAUUAUGGUAGUAAUGUGUAAUGUUUGAUUUUUUUUACCUGCAUCCCACUUUACAAAUUUAUAAAUAACUAUUUUAUUUCCAGUUCAGAUGAGUUUGCAAUCUAAAUGCUAUUACUAGACACAUUUUGUGGUAAUAAAGAGCCUAUAACUUUGUAAAUUUAUAAUUUUUUUUGCUUUCUUAGAUACGGUUUCAAUACAUAAAAGUUGUUUAAUAUUUAUAUAUUUUUUAUCUGAGAUUAUUAAAGUUGGAUAUCUAAUGUUCCCUCUGAAGUACUUUAAGAAAAAGUAGGCUGUAUGAUAUAUAAGGCAAUAUUAAUUAAGAAGUAGAGUUUGGCUGUAUGCGGAACACAGACCAGCACCUGCCAAGAAAGACCAUGCACAGCUGCACACCCAUUUGAGACAUCCUGGCCUAUCAAGACACUGUCAGCAGAAAGCAUGGAAGCAGAAGAACUGAAGCCCUCCCUACAGGAACAGAAGUGUUUCUCAAAUUUAAUUUGAUUUUAGUUGUUGAAUAUAAUAGAAAAAUACCAGAUCUAUCAAUAAAUAACACAAGGCCUGUAGUUUAAGAUGAUUAUAAUAUAACAUUUGAAAUAUUGUUUUUCAAUAGAAGUGGGGUUUGUGCUAUUGUAAUUAAAGAAAAGAACAGUUUACAUAUGGAUACAUUUUAGUUUUUCAAACUAAGUUGUAUAAUUAAGAAUACUAAUAAUAAUGCAGUAGGGAUUGAUUUGUUCAAUUGAUUUAAGGUAGACAAUGUAUAUCUGAUUUGAGAUUGCCAAAUGAAAGCACCUAGAAUAAAUGAAAAAUUUAGGCAAACAGAAAACAUGUUCAGGAAGAAUGUUUUUAGUACAAAUAAGCAUCUUAACAAUAAGAAAUAGACCUUUUUUUCCCAGUAGCUUUGAUUUUCAACAUCCCAGGAGUGCUGGGUUGCCUUAUCCCAAAGUUCUGUUUUUGAACAUUUUUGUGAAGAAUUUUAGACACUCAAGGAUCUCAUGUGACAGCAAGAGUAUUACAUUAGCCACGACGUCAUGACGACAGACUUCUUAAAUCUACGUUUGAUCAACUUUUGGAGUCGAAGAAAACUUAGUUUUUUAAAGUGUUAUAUGCAGCCUAGAGGUAGUCACCAAAAUGGAUAAUCAUUGUUAAAAUGUCUAGAAGGUGUGGCGUGAAUGCUCUUACCAGUCAUUAAGAUUGAACUUGCUAUUUGGAUGGAGACUAGAAGAUGUCUUUGAAGACUUGUAUAUAUUUUUAAAGACUUUUACUGUUGGACUAACAUUAACUUCAGUGUUUCUCGGCGCUUCUCAGAAUGACUGCAGGGUAAUUUUGAGGCUGAUUUUAAAGUUCGUUUUAACUGAUCAUAAAUUUAUAAAGAACUUUUACCUUGUUUUGCCUUUUCAAAUGGUUUGACUACAUAGCAUAGACUGAGGUGUACUUAGCUUAAACAGCAUUAAGUGAAACAUUUUUAGUUACUUUUUAUUGAUUUUUAUUGAGCUACAUUUUUCUCUGCCCCCUCUCUCCUCUUCAACCCUCUCCCAUGGUCCCCAUGCUCCCAAUUUACUUAGGAGAUCUUGUCUUUCUACUUCUCAUAUACAUUAGAUCCAUGUAUGUCUUUCUUGGGGUCCUCAUUGUUGUCUAGGUUCUCUGAGAUUGUGAUUUAUAGGCUGGUUUUCAUUGCUUUGUUUAAAUAUCACUUAUGGGACAUGUAAUGAUUGUCUUUCUGGGUCUGAUGUUUUCUAGCUCCAUCCAUUUGCCUGCAUAUUUCAAGAUGUCAUUAUUGUUUUUUUGCUGUGUAGUACUCCAUUGUGAAAAUGUACCACCAUUCUUCAUUUGAGGGCAAUUUAGGCUGUAUGAAGCUUUUUAUUUAAAAUUCAUCAAGAUUUUAACAUACAAUGAGUUCUGUUACUUUGGGGAGCAUUUUUUAUACAUAUAUGAAUGCAUCUUUCAUCUGUUGAGAGUAGCUGUAUAUUUUCUAUGUAGCACUGAUCAUUGUGAAAAUAAUGAAUCUUAAAGCUAUUUCAAAAUAAUUAUUAUUGUUUUGAUGUACCAUGGCAAAAUAUAUAAAAUCUAAAUUUGAGUAAGUGUAUUUGAUCAUUUACUAAAAUUAUAAAUAUUUUACUUAACAGUGGUACAUGUAUUUGUCAUGAUAUAAUAUUAUAAAAUGCUAUUCAUUAAAUAUUAAAUCAUCAUGCUAUUUCAUUUAUUUGUUCUUUUGAGUUUCCAUACUGAGUGUCUCCAUUUAUAACCUCAUUUGUAAAUGAGUCUGUAAACAAGUCAUGAUGUAUGUCAAAUAAAAUACUGUAUGUUUUAUAUUUUCUUUGUUUUGUUAAUAGUUUGUACAUAAAUUAUUAAAAUACAAUCAUGUUCUCAAAUACAAUCA